rnacentral:rRNA from 1 species
AUUGAACGCUGGCGGCAUGCCUUACACAUGCAAGUCGAACGGCAGCAUGGAGAGCUUGCUCUCUGAUGGCGAGUGGCGAACAGGUGAGUAAAGCAUCGGAACGUACCGUGUAGUGGGGGAUAACGUAGCGAAAGCUACGCUAAUACCGCAUACGCACUGAGGUGGAAAGCAGGGGAUCGUAAGACCUUGCGCUAUACGAGCGGCCGAUGUCAGAUUAGCUAGUUGGUAGGGUAAAGGCCUACCAAGGAGACGAUCUGUAGCGGGUCUGAGAAGAUGAUCCGCCACACUGGGACUGAGACACGGCCCAGACUACGACGGGAGGCAGCAGUGGGGAAUUUUGGACAAUGGGGGCAACCCUGAUCCAGCCAUGCCGCGUGAGUGAAGAAGGCCUUCGGGUUGUAAAGCUCUUUCGGCCGGGAAGAAAUCGCACAGGCUAAUACCCUGUGUGGAUGACGGUACCGGCAUAAGAAGCACCGGCUAACUACGUGCCAGCCGCCGCAGUAA